UACAGAGGGGGCAAGCGUUAUUCGGAAUCAUUGGGCGUAAAGCGCGUGUAGGCGGCCCGGUAAGUCCGCUGUGAAAGUCGGGGGCUCAACCCUCGGAUGCCGGUGGAUACUGUCGGGCUCGAGUACGGAAGAGGCGAGUGGAAUUCCUGGUGUAGCGGUGAAAUGCGCAGAUAUCAGGAGGAACACCAAUUGCGAAGGCAGCUCGCUGGGACGUUACUGACGCUGAGACGCGAAAGCGUGGGGAGCAAACAGG
rnacentral:rRNA from 1 species